GCGGCCAUAGUCUAGCCUGGUUAGGAUUGAAGCCUUCCAAGCUUCCGAGGCGGGUUCAAAUCCCGCUGGCCGCA
rnacentral:tRNA from 1 species